UACGGGGGGGGCAAGCGUUGUUCGGAAUUACUGGGCGUAAAGGGCUCGUAGGCGGCCAACUAAGUCGGAUGUGAAAUCCCCAGGCUUAACCUGGGAGCUGCAUCCGAUACUGGAUGGCUUGAAUUCGGGAGAGGGAUGCAGAAUUCCAGGUGUAGCGGUGAAAUGCGUAGAUAUCUGGAGGAAUACCGGUGGCGAAGGCGGCAUCCUGGACCGAGAUUGACGCUGAUGGGCGAAAGCUAGGGGAGCAAACGGG
rnacentral:rRNA from 1 species